UACGUAGGGUGCAAGCGUUAAUCGGAAUUACUGGGCGUAAAGCGUGCGCAGGCGGUUGUGCAAGACAGAUGUGAAAUCCCCGGGCUCAACCUGGGAAUGGCGAUGGUGACUGCGAGGCUAGAGUUUGGCAGAGGGGGGUAGAAUUCCACGUGUAGCAGUGAAAUGCGUAGAUAUGUGGAGGAACACCGAUGGCGAAGGCAGCCCCCUGGGUCAAAACUGACGCUCAUGCACGAAAGCGUGGGGAGCAAACAGG
rnacentral:rRNA from 1 species